rnacentral:rRNA from 2 species
UUAGGAAUCUUCCACAAUGGGCGCAAGCCUGAUGGAGCGACGCCGCGUGAGGGACGAAGGCUCUAGAGUUGUAAACCUCUAAAAGGGGGACGAUAAUGACGGUACCCCUUGAAAAGCACCGGCUAACUCAGUGCCAGCAGCCGCGGUAACACUGAGGGUGCAAGCGUUAUCCGGAAUCACUGGGCGUAAAGGGCGUGUAGGCGGUCUGUUAAGUCCGAUGUUAAAGACUGGGGCUCAACCCCAGCACGGCGUUGGAUACUGGCGGACUAGACGGCUGGAGAGGCAAGUAGAAUUACCAGUGUAGCGGUGAAAUGCGUAGAUACUGGUAGGAAUACUCAUUGCGAAGGCAGCUUGCUGGACAGCACGUGACGCUAAGGCGCGAAAGUGUGGGGAGCAAACCGG